CACGUAGGGUGCGAGCGUUGUCCGGAAUCAUUGGCGUAAAGGGCGCGUAGGUGGCCCGGUCAGCGUGCGGUGAAAGCUCGGGGCUCAACCCCGGAGUCGGCCGUGCGAACUGCUGGGCUCGAGCACUGUAGAGGCAGGCGGAAUUCCGGGUGUAGCGGUGGAAUGCGUAGAGAGUCCGGAAGAACACCGGUGGCGAAGGCGGCCCGACUGGGCCAGGAAGAGUGGAGCAAUCCAUCGG
rnacentral:rRNA from 1 species